CCUCCACUCUGCAACACAUCAUAACAUCAUAACAGUGCUACCAAAUAUUAUCGCACAUGUCAUUAAUAAUCUUAAUUCUUAGAGCGGUAUUGGUACUAUCCAUCAAUACGUAAUAUGCAUAAACAUGAAAAUCCGUAACCGUCGGCGUACCGUCACUACCGUCUGUAACUCGAAAGUGUAUUCCAAUUUGCCAAGCCAAUUAUGAAUUAAUGCAAAUAUGCAUUCGCAUUGCGCGGCUUAAUAAGAAGAACAAGUGACUAUAUAAUAGUCUUGAUCAGAAGUAUAAGUUUUUUUUAUAUUUUUAUUAGUAUUCUUAUGUAAUUUACCGCCAAACAUUCGAAAUUAGUACAGGUGAUUAUUCUGGAUUAGUGACUUAAUUAAUUUACCGUCAAGGCGUCAAACGAUUGAAAUCAGAAUUGACGGAUUAAAUAUACUUUCAACUACUACUCGAGGAUGCAGGUUUAUUCGGCACCUGUUACACUAGGGUAGCAAUUUUAAAGUGACCACAAAACCAAGUGCAAGAUGAAUAAAAUAAGCUAAACAACGAAUAAUAUAAAAUUUUAAACAUUUUGGAGUGCUAUAACUGAAUACAACUGCACCAAAUAUGAACAAGGAGCCUGUGAUUUUCCAGGUAAGACUAAAAAUUAAGUUGGUCAUAGUCUGUGACAGCGGUGACAUAACUGUGUGAUGAAGGUGUGGAAGCUUUGGUGACGACAACCGCAAUAGCAGCCAUGAGUAUUGAUUUAACCAAUGUUAAGAACAUAUUUUUGUUAAAAUUAUUAUGUUAAAUACAUAAUACAUUAUGGUAAUAUGGGAGUCUAUGGAAGAGUAUUCAGAGGGGUAAAUCCUUAUUUACUUUUUUUUUGUGUUUUUUCAAAAUCCUAUUUGUUUUGUAUAUUUUUUCAAUCAAUUAUUUUAAUAUUUUUUUAUUAUUUUGUGUUUUACUUAAAGGUUUUUCUUU